CUCAAUCCUCCCAUUUUCCUCUUCCCCUUAAUUGGAAACCCUAACUCACUCCCCCCUAUCUCUCUCUCCAUCUGUGAACUCACUCCCGUUGUCAACCCAUCCGCCUCCGGUCGUGGCCGUUGCCUCUGCCUCCGGUCAUCAUCGUCGCCUCCGCCUUGUCUCGAUUUCGAUUCUUUCUCGUCUGCUGUUCAUCUACGUUGCCGCUGCCUCCAGCUCUUUGCUUCCUCAAUGUCGCCGCUCUUUGCCCUUUUGAAGCCUACCGCCGCCGCCGCUGCCUCUAUGCCGCUACCCUCGCGGUCUCUAUGUCGUGACCGUCACUGCCUCGUCGUCGCCUCCAGCUAUUCGCUGCCUUAACGUCCCCGCACAGCCUCCUCUCAGCGGAUCUUGUGGAGAGUAGGACGUUUCAAAAGCAGGAAGUUGUCAUUCGUGUGGGAAAUGGAGCUCUUGUAGAGUCAUUAGCAAUAGGGACAUCUUUUAUUACUCUGAAUUCUGGACAUGUAUUAACUCUUAAAGACUGCUUAUAUUUACCUAAUGUUUUACGAAAUGUAGUGUCCAUUCCUAGACUUGUAAGGGAUGGUUAUGAAUUAUCUUUUGUUUUUAAUAUAUGUCAUCUUCAUUAUGGUAA